UAGUGGGGAGCGCAGCUGCCUUCCGAGCAGUUGUCCUGGGUUCGAUUCCCAGCCCGCCUG
rnacentral:tRNA from 1 species